UGCGCAGGCGGAAUAUUAAGUCAGUGGUGAAAUCCUACAGCUCAACUGUAGAACUGCCAUUGAUACUGAUAUUCUUGAGUAUAGUUGUAGUGGGCGGAAUAUGUCAUGUAGCGGUGAAAUGCUUAGAUAUGACAUAGAACACCGAUCGCGAAGGCAGCUCACUAAACUAUAACUGACGCUCAGGCACGAAAGCGUGGGGAGCAAACAGGAUUAGAUACCCUGGUAGUCC
rnacentral:rRNA from 1 species